UGCAGACAUGCGCGAGGUCACUCAAGGUCGGUUGAUAGCCGGCAGCACCGCUUUGACGUGUGGGAUCCUGAGCUCGGGGUCUGCAUUCUC
rnacentral:sRNA from 12 species